rnacentral:rRNA from 1 species
GCUUGCCUUGUCGGGAUCAGUGGCGAACGGGUGAGUAACACGUGAGUAACCUGCCCCAGACUCUGGGAUAACCCCGGGAAACCGGAGCUAAUACCGGAUAUGACCCUCGGACGCAUGUUCAGGGGGUGGAAAGUUUUUCGGUCUGGGAUGGGCUCGCGGCCUAUCAGCUUGUUGGUGAGGUAGUGGCUCACCAAGGCGACGACGGGUAGCCGGCCUGAGAGGGCGACCGGCCACACUGGGACUGAGACACGGCCCAGACUCCUACGGGAGGCAGCAGUGGGGAAUAUUGCACAAUGGGCGGAAGCCUGAUGCAGCGACGCCGCGUGAGGGAUGACGGCCUUCGGGUUGUAAACCUCUUUCAGCAGGGAAGAAGCGCAAGUGACGGUACCUGCAGAAGAAGCACCGGCUAACUACGUGCCAGCAGCCGCGGUAAUACGUAGGGUGCGAGCGUUGUCCGGAAUUAUUGGGCGUAAAGAGCUUGUAGGCGGUUUGUCGCGUCUGCUGUGAAAAUCCGGGGCUCAACCCCGGACUUGCAGUGGGUACGGGCAGACUAGAGUGUGGUAGGGGAGACUGGAAUUCCUGGUGUAGCGGUGGAAUGCGCAGAUAUCAGGAGGAACACCGAUGGCGAAGGCAGGUCUCUGGGCCACUACUGACGCUGAGAAGCGAAAGCAUGGGGAGCGAACAGGAUUAGAUACCCUGGUAGUCCAUGCCGUAAACGUUGGGAACUAGGUGUGGGUCUCA